rnacentral:rRNA from 1 species
UACAGAGGGGGCGAGCGUUGUUCGGAAUUACUGGGCGUAAAGGGCGCGUAGGCGGCCCGCUAAGUCGAACGUGAAAUCCCCAGGCUCAACCUGGGAACUGCGUCCGAUACUGGCAGGCUUGAAUCCGGGAGAGGGAUGUGGAAUUCCAGGUGUAGCGGUGAAAUGCGUAGAUAUUGGGAAGAACACCGGUGGCGAAGGCGGCUCACUGGCUCAUUACUGACGCUCAGGCGCGAUAGCGUGGGGAUCAAACAGG